rnacentral:rRNA from 1 species
GACGAACGCUGGCGGCGUGCUUAACACAUGCAAGUCGAACGGACCUUCGGGUUAGUGGCGAACGGGUGAGUAACACGUGGGUGAUCUGCCCUGCACUCUGGGAUAAGCCUGGGAAACUGGGUCUAAUACCGAAUAUGAUCGCUGGCUUCAUGGCUGGUGGUGGAAAGCUUUUGCGGUGUGGGAUGGGCCCGCGGCCUAUCAGCUUGUUGGUGGGGUAAUGGCCUACCAAGGCGACGACGGGUAGCCGGCCUGAGAGGGUGACCGGCCACACUGGGACUGAGAUACGGCCCAGACUCCUACGGGAGGCAGCAGUGGGGAAUAUUGCACAAUGGGCGCAAGCCUGAUGCAGCGACGCCGCGUGAGGGAUGACGGCCUUCGGGUUGUAAACCUCUUUCGCCAGGGACGAAGCGCAAGUGACGGUACCUGGAGAAGAAGGACCGGCCAACUACGUGCCAGCAGCCGCCGUAAAAC